AACGAACGCUGGCGGCAGGCCUAACACAUGCAAGUCGAGCGCGCCUUCGGGUGAGCGGCGGACGGGUUAGUAACGCGUGGGAACGUGCCCUUCUCUACGGAAUAGCCUCUGGAAACGGAGAGUAAUACCGUAUACGCCCUUUGGGGGAAAGAUUUAUCGGAGAAGGAUCGGCCCGCGUUAGAUUAGGUAGUUGGUGGGGUAACGGCCUACCAAGCCUACGAUCUAUAGCUGGUUUUAGAGGAUGAUCAGCAACACUGGGACUGAGACACGGCCCAGACUCCUACGGGAGGCAGCAGUGGGGAAUCUUAGACAAUGGGGGCAACCCUGAUCUAGCCAUGCCGCGUGAGUGAUGAAGGCCCUAGGGUUGUAAAGCUCUUUUGUGCGGGAAGAUAAUGACGGUACCGCAAGAAUAAGCCCCGGCUAACUUCGUGCCUGAAGG
rnacentral:rRNA from 1 species